UACGUAGGGGGCAAGCGUUGUCCGGAUUUAUUGGGCGUAAAGCGCUCGCAGGUGGUUCGUCGCGUCGUGCGUGAAAGACCCCGGCUCAACUGGGGAGGGUCGUGCGAUACGGGCGAACUGGAGGCCAGUAGGGGGAUGCGGAAUUCCGGGUGUAGUGGUGGAAUGCGUAGAGAUCCGGAGGAACACCAGCGGCGAAGGCGGCAUCCUGGACUGGUCCUGACACUCAUGAGCGAAAGCGUGGGGAGCGAACGGG
rnacentral:rRNA from 1 species